AAGUGAUGAUUACCUUAGAUGACGAGUCUGAUCGAGGUUUUUCUCGCUGAAGACACAACUUUUUAAUAACCAUUCAUGCCUUUCUGACA
rnacentral:snoRNA from 1 species